rnacentral:rRNA from 1 species
AACGCGAAGAACCUUACCAGCCCUUGACAUGUCCCGUAUGGGGCCGAGAGAUCGGCUUCUUCAGUUCGGCUGGCGGGAACACAGGUGCUGCAUGGCUGUCGUCAGCUCGUGUCGUGAGAUGUUGGGUUAAGUCCCGCAACGAGCGCAACCCUUGUUUGCUGUUGCCAUCAGGUUAUGCUGGGCACUCUGCAAAGACCGCCGGUGAUAAACCGGAGGAAGGUGGGGAUGACGUCAAGUCAGCAUGGCCUUUAUGUCUGGGGCUACACACGUGCUACAAUGGCCGGUACAAACCGUCGCGAGCCCGCGAGGGGGAGCUAAUCGGAAAAAGCCGGUCUCAGUUCGGAUAGCAGGCUGCAACUCGCCUGCUUGAAGUUGGAAUCGCUAGUAAUCGCGGAUCAGCACGCCGCGGUGAAUACGUUCCCGGGCCUUGUACACACCGGUAUCUC